AUUGAACGCUGGCGGCAUGCCUUACACAUGCAAGUCGAACGGCAGCGGGGACUUCGGUCCGCCGGCGAGUGGCGAACGGGUGAGUAAUGUAUCGGAACGUACCAUUCAGUGGGGGAUAACUAUCCGAAAGGAUAGCUAAUACCGAAUAUUUUGUGAGCAGGAAAGCAGGGGAUCGCAAGACCUUGCGCUGAUUGAGCGGCCGAUAUCAGAGUAGCUAUUUGGUGCCGUAACGGCUCACCAAGGCUACGAUCUGUAGCGGGUCUGAGAGGAUGAUCCGCCACACUGGGACUGAGACACGGCCCAGACUCCUACGGGAGGCAGCAGUGGGGAAUUUUGGACAAUGGGCGCAAGCCUGAUCCAGCCAUGCCGCGUGAGUGAAGAAGUCCUUCGGGUUGUAAAGCUCUUUCGGCCGGGAAGAAAUCGCAUCAGCUAAUACCUGGUGUGGAUGACGGUACCGGAAUAAGAAGCACCGGCUAACUACGUGCCAGCCGCCGCCGUAACAC
rnacentral:rRNA from 1 species